rnacentral:tRNA from 1 species
GAGGUUGUGGCUCAGUGGUAGAGCACUUAUCUAGCCCACAUGAGGCACUGAGUUUGAUUCUCAGCACCACA